rnacentral:rRNA from 1 species
GGGGAAUAUUGCACAAUGGGCGCAAGCCUGAUGCAGCAACGCCGCGUGAACGAUGAAGGUUCUACGAAUCGUAAAGUUCUGUUCUUAGGGAAGAAACAAAUGACGGUACCUAAGAAGAAAGCCCCGGCUAACUACGUGCCAGCAGCCGCGGUAAUACGUAGGGGGCAAGCGUUAUCCGGAAUUAUUGGGCGUAAAGGGUGCGUAGGUGGUUCUGUAAGCGUGGGGUCAAAGGCAAUAGCUUAACUAUUGUUCGCCCUGCGAACUGCAGAACUUGAGUGCAGGAGAGGUAAGUGGAAUUCCUAGUGUAGCGGUGAAAUGCGUAGAUAUUAGGAGGAACACCAGUGGCGAAGGCGACUUACUGGACUGUUACUGACACUGAGGCACGAAAGCGUGGGGAGCAAAC